rnacentral:lncRNA from 1 species
AAUUUAUAUUGUUUUCAAUCUUGUAAGUGACAAAUAGAAAUAUUAAUAAAAAAUAAUGCAACCCUAAAGAAUUCAAAUACACUACCAUCUACAUAUACAACAUAUGUGUGCAUUUGUCACGGACACAAAAUACAGACUUGAAAUCUAACAAGAAGUUCAAGAAGAAGUGGCAGAACUAGAUUAAACAGAUGAGUACAAGAACAACACCAGAAAGAUGAGCUAAAACUCCAAGAGAUGUGUUGUCGAGACU